AAAAAAUAAAAUAAAUAACUUGUAUAAUAGUUGUGAUAAGGUCAACGAGUUUCUACCUGCCGCCGUAAAUGGGCAGACUACAAGUCAAAUUUG
rnacentral:ncRNA from 1 species